UCUUGUGUUUGCUUGUCACCGCUCUGCUUGUUGUUUAGAACUGUCUGUGGUAAAAUGCGGGUAUUUUCUCAAGGCAGGCUAUGCCGUCAUCUUCAUCCAUCGCCGUGGGAGCAAGCACCCUUACUGUAGAUUUCUUCCAGAGGAUUCGAUUCUCGAUCUUCUUGAGCUUGGCGAAGACUCAGAGAUCCAAGUUCCCCAAUCUCACUCUGCUGUGGUCAAGGCAGCUAUUAGCAACUAUCGCAAGGCAAUUGAUGAAGGCCUGCUUCUGAAACUUCCUUUCACUACAAUUUUCGAGUACCUUCAGGUACUCGAACCUAUUUCCUACCACUACCAGGGCAUGUUUCCAAUUCUUGUUGUUUUGCGUAUAGCAUCGGACUCACGUAUCAACUGUUGCUGUCCAUAUUACAUUUUGUACCUGCAUGAUUUGUUGGUCUAAUUAGGCUCAUUAGAUUCGUCUCGUGAUUUACAAGCAAACUAUGCAAUUAGUUUUAAUUUCGUCUAAAUUUAAUACUCCAUGCAUGUAAAAUUCCAUUCGAUGUGAUGUUUUUCGAGUGUAAAGUUUUUGUAACUAA